AAAACUGUACUUGAACAGAAAUUAAAUAAAAAAAAUAAAAAAUAUUUGUCACAUUUUACUACUACUUCUCAGAAGCUUCUGGAAAUGGCCAAGCUAUGAACAACAACAACAAAGAGUAAUGGAAUGAUGGAACUCCCAAUCUGAGUAUGAAGAGAAGCCCCAUGUCCCAUAACAGCAGCAUCCCAAUGCCCCUAGAGAACUGCUCAGGGAGUUCCAGGGAACAGAAGUUAAGGACUUUUUUUCCGAAAAUCAACUGUGUUUAAAGAGAUGUUGUUAAAUUGGAGAAUAAAACAGCCAUCCUCAGAAAUACGGACUGAGCCCUGGCUGUAUACAGACACUGCCCCAUACAGGCUCAAGGAGCAGAAUGAUGAACACAAAGGCCCUUCCAUCCCAGCUGCAGGGAGCUAAGAGUCCAGGGGUAAGUGCCACAAUGCAAACACACUGCAAAUAUUAGAAGCACACAAGUUUCAGUAAGGGCUUUAAAGAAAAAGAGUGGAGUACACAAAAGAAGAUGGACAAGGGGACAUUUUUGCAGACAGGUUGGUCAGGGAGACCCUUGUAAGGAGGUAACAUUUUAAUGACACCUGAAGGGUGAGAAAUAAGGAGUGAGGCCCUGGGGAACCAGGGAAGAGUCCGAGUGGUCUGAAAGUUUCAUGUGCUCAUGAGCUUCAGGCUUUUGAGAAACAUGUGUAACAGCCUACGGCACAAUAUAUGACCCAUGUACUUGGUCUGUGGACGGUCCUUCAAUUUUUCUGCACUCAUCCCAAAGGGAGGGAAAUAUUUCUCUAUUUUCUCCUACAUUCAACUGAGAGUCAUGACAGCAGGGUCAGUGGACAAUGGCCUAAAGGCCAAGUCUAGUUCACCAUCUCUUCUUGUUUGACCAUAAGCUAAACAUUUUUAAAAACAUAUUUUCAAUCAAUUUUUAAAAAAUUGAUCGAUCAAUCAAUUUUUUUAAUUCAUGACACAUGAUAAUCCUGUGAAAUUCAAAUUUUAUUAGCAACUAUUUUUUUUACAACUCAGCCAUGCUCAUUUGUUCAGGCAUUACCUGUGGCUUUUUUCACGUGGUAAGAUCAGAUUUGUGUAUUGGUGAUAGACCUUAUUAUCCGCAAAGUUUAAAACGUUUAGUCUCUGGCCCUUUACAGGAAAAGCUCACUGACCCCUGUGUUGAAACAUUUGUUUGUUGAGAUUUCAUCAAUAACACUCUAAUGUCACAAAGCUUCAACUCAGUUUCCUGCCGGUGGUGUUAAUUGUAAGCUUUAAAUUCAUAGGAGUUGCUUUCUCUACCUUUACUUUUCAGGAAUACUGUCUCAUUAAUACACCAGAUAACCAGAUAAGUUUAUUUUGAAGGAUUUUUCUUUGCUUAACCUUAAUUCUUUAGUAGCUUCCUUCAUUCUGAUAUAUUGGAAAACUUAUGAAAUUAUAUUACAAAAAGUUAACAUUAGGUGUCAGUAUUUUACAUACUAUUUAGUAAUUGUGUGUUAGUGAAAUGUAAUAGAUUAUUACAGACAGCAUUCUCAUUGGAAAUUUUCAACUCUUUUUACAGUGUUUGCUCUACUAUUUGUUUUUGUUUUUGUAUUAUUGAAAUGUUCUUUAUGUAAUGCACAUGUUUCAAACUCUUCAUUUCUUUAGGUACCGCUUCUUUAUUUUUGCCGUAUAUCUGUGAGUAGGAAUGGAUAAGUGGCAUAGUACUAACAAGCAUCUUUUUUAAGAUAUUUUUUAAAAGAUUUUAUUUAUUUAUCUUUAGCGGGGAAGGGAAGGAGAGAGAGAGAGAAAUAUCAGUGUAUGGUUGUCUCUCGUGUGUCCCCUGCCAGGAACUGGCCUGCAACCCAGGCAUGUGCCCUGACUGGGAAUCGAACCGUGAUACUCUAGCAAGCAUCUUUUAAGUGACCUCCAUAACGAUCUGAGUGAGGUUUCAAAAUAGAGACCAUUUCAUGGCAGGGCAGGUCUGUGGGAAGAAUACCAGGGAGGCUUUACAGGGAAGAGGGGAGGGUAAUGAGUUUGAGCUCCUACUUGUGAUAUGGAGAGAUUUCCUUAACAUUAACAUUUAUAACAUUUUGAAGGCUAUUCUUUAACAUUCCAAUUUAUAGUAAUUUGAAUCUACAUCAAUUAGAAGGUUAUGACUUAACCUUCUAAUUGAUAACAUUGUAGGUACAGUGAGUAACCAUCCAGUCUCUACAAUGCAAGGUUGUUGUGAUGAUCAAAUAUACUAACACUUUUUCAUAAGCCACUUGUUAAAGUGACCAACUCAAUGGACAACCCACACAUGUUAACACUUCCCUCUAACCAUCACUGAUGUUUCUUUUACCUUUAAAUUAUUUUGAAUAUUUGGUCAAUAUAACAUAUGAAAAAAACCUAGCAUCUAGCAUUUAAGAAACAGAAGUUUUCUUUUCUCUAAUCAUUCAAUUGUGCCAAAUCCUGUAAUUCCAUGCGUGUGUGUAUGUGUGUGUCUUAUGUAUUUUCCCAUGCCUUUUUUGUUCAUUUCACUAAACUCAAAAUAAUUUUCAGAGAAUCAGAGAUUAAAUAAGAUCAAAUCUAUUUCAUAACUCUAAAUCUCUCUGAAAAUGCCUUUAGUUUGUUUGUUUUAAUGCUUCCAUGUUUAUCUCCAAAUUAUAAGCAAAAAGGAUUCCUAAAGAUAUAAAUAUUGUAUUGAAUCCUUAUAAAUCAGUAAGAAAAAAGAAAUAAUAAAGGGCAAAGAAUAGGAAUAGACAAUUCACAUACAAUACAAUUUCAAUGAUCAAUAAAUAUUUACUAUAGUGCUCAACCCUAGUAAUGAAAAAAUAAAGUAAAAAUAGAAACAUU